GAUGAACGCUGGCGGCGUGCCUAAUACAUGCAAGUCGAGCGAGCAGACGAGGAGCUUGCUCCUCUGACGUUAGCGGCGGACGGGUGAGUAACACGUGGAUAACCUACCUAUAAGACUGGGAUAACUUCGGGAAACCGGAGCUAAUACCGGAUAAUAUAUUGAACCGCAUGGUUCAAUAGUGAAAGACGGUUUUGCUGUCACUUAUAGAUGGAUCCGCGCCGCAUUAGCUAGUUGGUAAGGUAACGGCUUACCAAGGCAACGAUGCGUAGCCGACCUGGGAGGGUGAUCGGCCACACUGGAACUGAGACACGGUCCAGACUCCUACGGGAGGCAGCAGUAGGGAAUCUUCCGCAAUGGGCGAAAGCCUGACGGAGCAACGCCGCGUGAGUGAUGAAGGUCUUCGGAUCGUAAAACUCUGUUAUUAGGGAAGAACAAAUGUGUAAGUAACUAUGCACGUCUUGACGGUACCUAAUCAGAAAGCCACGGCUAACUACGUG
rnacentral:rRNA from 1 species